rnacentral:rRNA from 1 species
GAUGAACGCUGGCGGCGUGCCUAAUACAUGCAAGUCGAGCGAACAGACGAGGAGCUUGCUCCUCUGACGUUAGCGGCGGACGGGUGAGUAACACGUGGAUAACCUACCUAUAAGACUGGGAUAACUUCGGGAAACCGGAGCUAAUACCGGAUAACAUGUUGAACCGCAUGGUUCAACAGUGAAAGACGGUCUUGCUGUCACUUAUAGAUGGAUCCGCGCCGCAUUAGCUAGUUGGUAAGGUAACGGCUUACCAAGGCAACGAUGCGUAGCCGACCUGAGAGGGGAGUGGCCAACAUGGGAGUGGAGACAGGGCCAACCCCACUAGGGGGGGAGCAAGAGGGGAAUCUCCCGAAGGGGCGGAAGCCGGGAGGGGCAAGCGCGGGGGGAGGAAAAAGGGUGUCGGGAUCGAAAAACUGUUUUAUUGGGAAAAAAAAAAUGGGAAAGAAAUAAUCCCCGUCUUGAGGGUCCCUAAACAGAAGCCCCGGCCAAACUCGGGC